rnacentral:rRNA from 1 species
UUGGAGAGGGGCCUUUGGGGCCGUUCCUUGGCUAUGUUCCUUGGAACAGGACGUCAUACAGGGUGAGAAUCCCGUGUGGCGAGGAGUGCGGUUCUUUGUAAAGUGCCUUCGAAGAGUCCAGUUGUUUGGGAAUGCAGCUCUCAGUGGGUGGUAAAUUCCAUCUAAAGCUAAAUAUUGGCGAGAGACCGAUAGCGAACAAAAUACAAAUGAUGGAAAGAUGAAAAGAACUUUGAAAAGAAAGUGAAAAAGUACGUGAAAUUGUUGAAAGGGAAGGGCAUUUGAUCAGACAUGGUGUUUUGUGCCCUCUGCUCCUUGUGGGUAGGGGAAUCUCGCAUUUCACUGGGCCACCAUCAGUUUUGGUGGCAGGAUAAAUCCGUAGGAAUGUAGCUUGCCUCGGUAAGUAUUAUUUCCUGUGGGAAUACCGCCAGCUGGGACUGAGGACUGCUACGUAUGUCGAGGAUGCUGGC